GAUUCGGAUGCCCAUAUCUGCGGAAGAUUUCUAUCUUUAUCUUUCUGGACAGCUCUGCUGAGUGUCUAUGGAAUAUAUGCUGAAUAAAUUGGACAAACAGUAGAAAUUCAUUGAGAAGAAUUAAAGGCAAUGAGCAAAUCGGCCUAGUUCAGUGGGGCUGCCAAUUCCUUGUCACAAAAUCUGUUAUUUCAUUGCUUGGCCCGUCUAGUGUCUCAAGUCUCUCUCAGUCUAGAUUCGAUAAAGAAUGGUGUGAAGGCUGGAAAUUCCAUUUAUACCAAGCAACUGAACAUGAGUCUUUUUUUUUUCUGUGUACCUUAAUUUAUCAGCAAGCUACAUUGUCCUUUUUGGCAAGUGUUAGCAUAGAAAUUUUGUUUUUUUGUGGGCUUAAUGUAACAUGUUCUUCUGAAGUUCAUGAAUCUUCAUGGCUUGAAAAAUCGCUUGCUUUAGAAAUUAUCAACAGAUGAAUGUGCAGCUGUUUUGAAGCCUAUUGAGAUUUUGGGUACUAUUGCAGCAAGUAGAAAGAGUAACUAAUUUUAAUACUUUUGAUUAUCUUUGCAGAAGCUCACCAUAACAGGUUCUCAUUCUGUUGUGAUUUAUUUGAGAGAGUUCCAACAAGUAUACUUCAAAACCUCAAUACAUAUAAGCAUAUUUAUU